rnacentral:rRNA from 1 species
CCUACGGGAGGCAGCAGUGAGGAAUAUUGGUCAAUGGACGAGAGUCUGAACCAGCCAAGUAGCGUGAAGGAUGACUGCCCUAUGGGUUGUAAACUUCUUUUAUAUGGGAGUAAAAUGUUCCACGUGUGGGAUUUUGUAUGUACCAUAUGAAUAAGGCUCGGCUAACUCCGUGCCAGCAGCCGCGGUAAUACGGAGGAUCCGAGCGUUAUCCGGAUUUAUUGGGUUUAAAGGGAGCGUAGGUGGAUUGUUAAGUCAGUUGUGAAAGUGUGCGGCUUAACCGUAAAAUUGCAGUUGAAACUGGCAGUCUUGAGUACAGUAGAGGUGGGCGGAAUUCGUGGUGUAGCGGUGAAAUGCUUAGAUAUCACGAAGAACUCCGAUUGCGAAGGCAGCUCACUGGACUGCAACUGACACUGAGGCUCGAAAGUGUGGGUAGCAAACAGGAUUAGAUACCCCAGUAGUC